AUGUUCACCCUUUUGAGUUAUUCAUCUCAAAUUUUGCGAUUCGGCCAUGAACACAACCCAUAUAUAACCAUCACGUGAAAUUGGUCCGAAUGACAAAAAUUAAGUCGUUUGAGAGACCAGAAAACUGAAGAUUUUCAAUGCAAACUGCAAACUAUUUGAAAGACGAUCAUCGAUCUUCAUUGAAAGCUCGGUUUAUAGCUACAAAGAGAACGGUAUCAUAUAAAAGAAACCAAUAAUUUCACACUCGAAUUACAGUCUAUAAUACAACAAUUGAAAAGACAAACUUAUUGGGUACUACAACAACAAAUAAUUCUUAAUUUACUCAUUUAAAUUCUUGAAAGUUGACAUGUCCUGUUGCUU
rnacentral:lncRNA from 1 species